GCGGCGCACGGGUGCGUAACACGUGGGUAAUCUGCCCUGGAGUCCGGAAUAACUCGCCGAAAGGCGUGCUAAUGCCGGAUAAGACCACGGGGGCUUCGGCCUCUGCGGAAAAAGGUGGCCUAUGUAUACAAGCUAUCUCUUCAGGAUGAGCCCGCGGCCCAUCAGCUAGUUGGCGAGGUAAAGGCCCACCAAGGCAACGACGGGUAGCUGGUCUGAGAGGACGAUCAGCCACACUGGAACUGAGACACGGUCCAGACUCCUACGGGAGGCAGCAGUGGGAAUCUUGCGCAAUGGGCGAAAGCCUGACGCAGCAACGCCGCGUGUGUGAUGAAGGUCUUCGGAUCGUAAAGCACUGUCGCGAGGGACGAA
rnacentral:rRNA from 1 species